rnacentral:rRNA from 1 species
GUGUCAGCCGCCGCGGUAAGACGUAGGUGGCGAACGUUAUCCGGAAUUAUUGGGCGUAAAGGAUGCGUAGAUGGCGUAGUAAGUUAUCGGUGGCAAAUCGAGGCUCAACCUCGUGGAAGUCGGUAAUACUGCUAUGCUAGAGGAUAGGAGAGGUUAACGGAACUCCCUGUGGAGCGGUGAAAUGCGUAGAUAUAGGGAAGAACACCAAUCAGGCGAAGGCAGUUAACUAUUCUAUUCCUGACAUUGAGGCAUGAAAGCGUGGGGAGCAAAACGGAUUAGAUACCCUAGUAGUCC